rnacentral:rRNA from 1 species
CACCGCGGUUAUACGAGAGGCCCAAGUUGAUGAAUUCCGGCGUAAAGAGUGGUUAAGCUAAAAUUAAAACUAAAGCCGAACGCCCCCAAAGCUGUUAUACGCAUCCGGAGGUGAGAAGUUCAACCACGAAGGUGGCUUUAUUUAACCUGAACCCACGAAAGCUACGGUA